rnacentral:rRNA from 1 species
AGCGAACGCUGGCGGCAGGCUUAACACAUGCAAGUCGAGCGGGUGUAGCAAUACAUCAGCGGCAGACGGGUGAGUAACGCGUGGGAACGUACCUUUUGGUUCGGAACAACACAGGGAAACUUGUGCUAAUACCGGAUAAGCCCUUACGGGGAAAGAUUUAUCGCCGAAAGAUCGGCCCGCGUCUGAUUAGCUAGUUGGUAGGGUAACGGCCUACCAAGGCGACGAUCAGUAGCUGGUCUGAGAGGAUGAUCAGCCACAUUGGGACUGAGACACGGCCCAAACUCCUACGGGAGGCAGCAGUGGGGAAUAUUGGACAAUGGGGGCAACCCUGAUCCAGCCAUGCCGCGUGAGUGAUGAAGGCCCUAGGGUUGUAAAGCUCUUUUGUGCGGGAAGAUAAUGACGGUACCGCAAGAAUAAGCCCCGGCUAACUUCGUGCCAGCAGCCGCAGUAAAAC